UACGGAGGGUGCAAACGUUGCUCGGAAUCAUUGGGCGUAAAGCGCGCGUAGGCGGUCCGGUCAGUCGGGUGUGAAAGCCCUCGGCUUAACUGAGGAAGUGCAUCCGAAACUGCCGGGCUAGAGUACCGGAGAGGGCGACGGAAUUCCCGGUGUAGAGGUGAAAUUCGUAGAUAUCGGGAGGAACACCAGCGGCGAAGGCGGUCGCCUGGACGGAUACUGACGCUGAGGCGCGAAAGCGUGGGGAG
rnacentral:rRNA from 1 species